rnacentral:rRNA from 1 species
AUGAGCACACCCGGCCUCUGCAUAACUAGGAUGCACACAGCCAACAACAACGCACACACACAAAAAACUCCACGGGCAAAAAGCAAAGUCAUAGAAGACCAAAGCUAUGCCAUGUGGAGGGAGAAAAAGAAAAAAAACCUAAAGCGAUCAAAACAACGAUCAACGAUAUACAACGACGACCAUCAGCACAAACAAUCCCUUGACAACAUAAGGACUAUCAGAAAAGUUCUUCAAAAGCAAUGCCUCCAGGAAGGGAACAGCGUGCAAACGCCGUCAUCGCCGGAUCCAACCACCGCCGGAUCAUGGGUUUUCACCCUGAAGAUUUAG